rnacentral:misc_RNA from 1 species
UUUCCGUAGGUGAACCUGCGGAAGGAUCAUUCAUAAUAAAGUGUUUUAUGGCACUUUUUAAAAAUCCAUCUCCACCUUGUGUGCAAUGUUAGAUCUCGUCAAUCUUGGCGAGAUUUUUAUACAUCAACUCAUUCUUUAACUAAUUUGUCUGAAAAAUAUUAUGAAUACUUAAUUCAAAAUACAACUUUCAACAACGGAUCUCUUGGCUCUC